rnacentral:rRNA from 1 species
GACGAACGCUGGCGGCGUGCUUAACACAUGCAAGUCGAACGGAAAGGCCCUGCUUUUGUGGGGUGCUCGAGUGGCGAACGGGUGAGUAACACGUGAGUAACCUGCCCUUGAUUUUGGGAUAACUUCAGGAAACUGGGGCUAAUACCGGAUAGGAGCUCCUGCUGCAUGGUGGGGGUUGGAAAGUUUCGGCGGUUGGGGAUGGACUCGCGGCUUAUCAGCUUGUUGGUGGGGUAGUGGCUUACCAAGGCUUUGACGGGUAGCCGGCCUGAGAGGGUGACCGGCCCCAUUGGGAUUGAGCUACGGCCCAGACUCCUACGGGAGGCAGCAGUGGGGAAUAUUGCACAAUGGGCGGAAGCCUGAUGCAGCAACGCCGCGUGCGGGAUGACGGCCUUCGGGUUGUAAACCGCUUUCGCCUGUGACGAAGCGUGAGUGACUGUAAUGGGUAAAGAAGCACCGGCUAACUACGUG